UACGUAGGGUGCAAGCGUUAAUCGGAAUUACUGGGCGUAAAGCGUGCGCAGGCGGUUUUGUAAGACUGUCGUGAAAUCCCCGGGCUUAACCUGGGAAUGGCGAUGGUGACUGCAAGGCUAGAGUUUGGCAGAGGGGGGUAGAAUUCCACGUGUAGCAGUGAAAUGCGUAGAUAUGUGGAGGAACACCGAUGGCGAAGGCAGCCCCCCUGGGUCAAAACUGACGCUCAUGCACGAAAGCGUGGGGAGCAAACAGG
rnacentral:rRNA from 1 species